UGAUACUGAACAGGUUGGGUUUUCCACUUGAGCGAUGUCAAGGAACUCGACGGCGUUUGCCGAGGGUAAGGCCAUGGCGAUGAGAGGACGUCUCCCUUUGGGAACCUCCUCCUGGCCGGAGAGACCAGGACAUGCCCCAGCAAGGCCGGGUGAUCACCAUGCCCUGUGCCCGGGAUCGGGAGCUGCAAGGACCGGCCUUUCGUCGCCUGCUUGCUCCCCGCUCUGCUUGCACUGCGGGCCCGAUGUGGCGAUGGAAGGGGCCCGUGUGACAGCAGCGAGCGCUGGCGAGAGGCUUCCUGGGCUGCAGAGCAUUAUUUUCCAUGGUAACCAGCCUAUCAACAAGCCCAAGAACAGCAACUUGUUUGGAAAACAAGACAGCGCUCAGCCUCCGUGCUGCCUCUUCUGGCUCGGUGAGUGGCACACGCGUUCAUCACGGGUGACACCGGGGUCCCCCCCGCCCCCACGAGGCAUCACGUGGUGCGAGGAUUAAUGAUCUCAUUACUCCCCAACAACUAAUUCAUUUAAAGGACUAACACGGAGAGCACAUCAAUCCAGCUACCAGGGUGAAGGAAACCUCCCCAACAUACCAGGCGCUGUGCGCUCGCUGCCCAUAAAGCCCAAAGCAGCACAUGCUGUGCGGUGUUAUAGCCGUGCCUGUGGAUACCGCUUUUCCCUGUGUUUUCAAGUGCUCAGAAGACAACAGGACAGCACAGCGAGCCCGCCUGAAACCAUGGCAGACGUAACGGCGUGGGGAUGGACUGCGGCAUCCUGGUGCCCAGACGUGUCUGCACGUGUGUGUGUAUCAUGCUGGCUCCUGGGUCCUGUUAGUCCUCAUCUGGGGUCUUCCAGAGAUGUCUGAGGUAUGGCGGGGCAGAGGAAAUGACAGACCACAGAGCUCAAAUGGGGUUUAUCUGGAGUAAAUCAUUAACCAA